rnacentral:lncRNA from 1 species
CCAAGGCAUAUGAGACAAUUAAGUGUUUUAGCCACAUGAAAGUUUCCCUGGUGGCUUGACUGUUCAUUUGUCUUGCUCUGCUUUUUGGAGUCAGUUGCUAUCACUGCCUUUUUUGUACCACAUUCAGGCACAGCUUCAUGGUUACAGUCCCAGUGAGAUUAUGUAAACUAGGGGAAUUCUCAUUUUUCUUGUUUGAGACUUUCAUUCUUCCUUGCUAUAUCACUUACCUCUGUCUAAUUUUAUGAUUUUACCUCUUAGGUUGACCUCCACUGAAAAGCAACUGAAUGGAUUCCAGAACAGCCUUCACAGUGCUGCACCCUGUGAGCCAGGGACAUGUUCAACAGAGAAGGAUUAACACAGAACUCCAGGUGAGGAAUCCCAAGAAUUGCUUCAAGUAGUGGACAAUGGAAGAAGCAGCAGCAGUGACUUCACGCCAUCACAUUCCCAUAUCAGGCAAAAAAGAGAGAAGAGGAGGCCUUGGUGAGAGAACAACCCACUGAAAAGAGUAUCUAAACAUCUGUGAAAGCAGAUUGUGGUGAUACACCUGCAAGCUGAGAUGAAUGAAUGAAUGUGUCUGAGAGCUUCUGCUGCUGAGUCUUUGUCCCUUCAAAGGACAGAUCACUAACUGUGAGAUCUUUCCUGCAGCUAUUCUUCCUAAAGUCCAGGUUUGAACGUAAAGUCUCACUUGCUCAGCCAUUUCAAUCUGUUCUAGUCUGGUAAUAGCCAAGAUUCCAUACUUUCAUCACAUGGCAACCAUCAGCAGAGAAAAAUAUUAGAACAUGUGACUGGAGAUGUCUGUAUUGGUUGCCAUCUUGAAUUUUGGCACAGAGCCAUAGAAAUUAACAGUUUAAAUAAAGUAAUUUCAUUUGUUUGUUUUGGUUAUAAUUUCAGUUAUUAAUUCACACACCCAGAAUAUUUGCUGUUGUUAUACUGGACAGGAUUUUAAAUCUGUCUUUAUUUCACUGUAAGAUACUUGUAUUCUGUGUGGCUUAUUUUGUAUUUUGAUUUGUGUUUGUUUAGACCUUGUAAACUUUUUAAAUUGGCUGAUGUUUUCAGACCCAGGCUUGAACCCUAAGGCCCAGGUGGCUCUUAUCAGUUGCAAUAGUGUCUUGGUGAAGGAGUCCAGUUAAAAUUUGCCUAGAGUUAUUAAAAUUUGCUUGUGUUAGAAAACAAUGUCAGCAGCUGGAAAUUGUAUUGGAGAGAAGAUCCAUCCAUCCUUAAAAUGAGCAGGAAGCAGCUUCAGCUCUGGCUCUUUGUUGGUGCCAAGUUAAAGGAAAACUCAGUAUUUUGCAACUUCUGCCUUGUCCAACAGCAAGGGAUGUGAUUGAUAGUUCUCAAAGGUAAAAAAUGUUCUAUUGCUUGUAUCAGAGUCUUCAGAGAUUGGACUCGACAUCCUGUUUGAUCUCUUUUCUUACUCUACUUUCCUCUGUCUUUUGUAGUUUGUAUAGUCAGUGUUAAGAGAUCAUUCAAAUAUGUUGACAAGUAGAUAGUGAUCAACCCAGAGGACUGACAAAAGAAACUGUGUCAGAGAGGGAAGGUGUUUUCUCUUGAAAUGAUUAUGUUCAUGUUCACUCUUGAAUUCCACAUAUUUUCUGUCACUCAAGACCAGACAAAUUGUGAGAAGGUUAAAUAAUUAUGUUCAUACCUUAUUAGUUUCAGCAUCACUCACUUCAGGCAUGAAUUAAUAGGACAGAACAUGCAUUUUUCUAUUUCUGGUACACUCACUCGUGAUACACUGAAUACUUCACUUGUCUGAAGUGCAGCUCUCUGAUACAGCUGUUCCCUUCCUUAGUUUAUCUUUCAUUUCCAUUAGACAGUCAUGAUCACAUUCACUUU